GGGUUGUGAGGUUAAGCGACUAAGCGUACACGGUGGAUGCCCUGGCAGUCAGAGGCGAUGAAGGACGUGCUAAUCUGCGAUAAGCGCCGGUAAGGUGAUAUGAACCGUUAUAACCGGCGAUUUCCGAAUGGGGAAACCCAGUGUGACUCGUCACACUAUCAUUAACUGAAUCCAUAGGUUAAUGAGGCGAACCGGGGGAACUGAAACAUCUAAGUACCCCGAGGAAAAGAAAUCAACCGAGAUUCCCCCAGUAGCGGCGAGCGAACGGGGAGGAGCCCAGAGCCUGAAUCAGCAUGUGUGUUAGUGGAAGCGUCUGGAAAGGCGCGCGAUACAGGGUGACAGCCCCGUACACAAAAGCGCAUGUGCUGUGAGCUCGAUGAGUAGGGCGGGACACGUGGUAUCCUGUCUGAAUAUGGGGGGACCAUCCUCCAAGGCUAAAUACUCCUGACUGACCGAUAGUGAACCAGUACCGUGAGGGAAAGGCGAAAAGAACCCCGGCGAGGGGAGUGAAAAAGAACCUGAAACCGUGUACGUACAAGCAGUGGGAGCACCCUUUGGGGUGUGACUGCGUACCUUUUGUAUAAUGGGUCAGCGACUUAUAUUCUGUAGCAAGGUUAACCGAAUAGGGGAGCCGGAGGGAAACCGAGUCUUAAUUGGGCGUUAAGUUGCAGGGUAUAGACCCGAAACCCGGUGAUCUAGCCAUGGGCAGGUUGAAGGUUGGGUAACACUAACUGGAGGACCGAACCGACUAAUGUUGAAAAAUUAGCGGAUGACCUGUGGCUGGGGGUGAAAGGCCAAUCAAACCGGGAGAUAGCUGGUUCUCCCCGAAAGCUAUUUAGGUAGCGCCUCGUGAAUUCAUCUCCGGGGGUAGAGCACUGUUUCGGCUAGGGGGCCAUCCCGGCUUACCAACCCGAUGCAAACUGCGAAUACCGGAGAAUGUUAUCACGGGAGACACACGGCGGGUGCUAACGUCCGUCGUGAAGAGGGAAACAACCCAGACCGCCAGCUAAGGUCCCAAAGUCAUGGUUAAGUGGGAAACGAUGUGGGAAGGCCCAGACAGCCAGGAUGUUGGCUUAGAAGCAGCCAUCAUUUAAAGAAAGCGUAAUAGCUCACUGGUCGAGUCGGCCUGCGCGGAAGAUGUAACGGGGCUAAACCAU
rnacentral:rRNA from 1 species